rnacentral:rRNA from 1 species
UUGGAGGGCAAGUCUGGUGCCGGCAGCCGCGGUAAUUCCAGCUCCAAUAGCGUAUAUUAAAGUUGUUGCAGUUAAAAAGCUCGUAGUUGAAUUUCGGGGUUCAUCCGUUGGUCGGGCUUUUUGGUCUGUACUGGCGUGAUGGAUUCCUACCUUCUGAAUAACCGGCAUGUCAUUAAUUUGGUGCGCCGGGGAAGCAGGACUGUUACCUUGAAAAAAAUUGAGUGCUUAAAGCAGGCUAUCG